CCAGCGAAGACAAACGAAGCUGAUGAAGGCUGGAGCGGUCCCUCGGAUCCUCCAGCGAAGGUGGAUGAAGGCUGGAGCGGUCCCACGGACCCUCCAGCAGACGACGAAGGCUGAGGCGGUCCCUCGGACCCCCCAGCGAAGGCAAACGAAGACUGAAGCGGUCCCACGGACCCUCCAGCGGAGGCAGAUGAAACUGAUGGAGGCUGGAGCGGUCCCCCUGACCCUCCAGCAGACGACGAAGGCUGGAGUGGUCCCACGGACCCUCCAGCGAAGGCGGACGAAGGCUGAAGCGGUCCUCGGACCCCACAGUGAUUGGACGAGCCCCCAUAUGUUACACCCCGGCCUAGGCAACCGGGGUGCAACGUAGAAAAACAAAGAUAAGGAAAAUAAAAAUAAGGAAAAUAAAAAUAAGGUAAAAAAAACACACGAGAAAAAACUAAUACGGGUUUCCACAAAAAUCAUCCCAAAACGACCACUAUUUUCUUUAAAGCAAAAUGAUAUUUAUUUACAACGCAAGGCGCCAAACUAUUUACAACGGGGGGGGAAAAAGAUCGCGACCAUGACAACUGACACACAGGGCUUAAAUACAUGGAGGGAACAAUCAGGGAAU
ensembl:lncRNA